rnacentral:rRNA from 1 species
CCCGGGGCUCAACCUGGGAACUGCAUUCGAAACUGGCAGGCUAGAGUCUUGUAGAGGGGGGGUAGAAUUCCAGGUGUAGCGGUGAAAUGCGUAGAGAUCUGGAGGAAUACCGGUGGCGAAGGCGGCCCCCUGGACAAAGACUGACGCUCAGGUGCGAAAGCGUGGGGAGCAAACAGGAUUAGAUACCCUGGUAGUCCACGCCGUAAACGAUGUCGAUUUGGAGGUUGUGCCCUUGAGGCGUGGCUUCCGGAGCUAACGCGUUAAAUCGACCGCCUGGGGAGUACGGCCGCAAGGUUAAAACUCAAAUGAAUUGACGGGGGCCCGCACAAGCGGUGGAGCAUGUGGUUUAAUUCGAUGCAACGCGAAGAACCUUACCUGGUCUUGACAUCCACAGAACUUUCCAGAGAUGGAUUGGUGCCUUCGGGAACUGUGAGACAGGUGCUGCAUGGCUGUCGUCAGCUCGUGUUGUGAAAUGUUGGGUUAAGUCCCGCAACGAGCGCAACCCUUAUCCUUUGUUGCCAGCGGUUAGGCCGGGAACUCAAAGGAGACUGCCAGUGAUAAACUGGAGGAAGGUGGGGAUGACGUCAAGUCAUCAUGGCCCUUACGACCAGGGCUACACACGUGCUACAAUGGCAUAUACAAAGAGAAGCGACCUCGCGAGAGCAAGCGGACCUCAUAAAGUAUGUCGUAGUCCGGAUUGGAGUCUGCAACUCGACUCCAUGAAGUCGGAAUCGCUAGUAAUCGUAGAUCAGAAUGCUACGGUGAAUACGUUCCCGGGCCUUGUACACACCGCCCGUCACACCAUGGGAGUGGGUUGCAAAAGAAGUAGGUAGCUUAACCUUCGGGAGGGCGCUUACCACUUUGUGAUUCAUGACUGGGGUGAAGUCGUAACAAGGUAACCGUAGGGGAACCUGCGGCU